rnacentral:lncRNA from 1 species
UGGCUUGCAGAUGGACAAGCUUUAUAACAUUGAAACUGCAAACCAGGAAAUUCUGUCAGUUUGCCACUGCCUGCUCUGCUCCAGCUGAAAAUACUUUAGCUCAGGUUCAGAAAUCUUCUCAGUGAGCUGCUAUUCAGACUCAGAAAGUAGCUUGGAGAAUACUCCAGACGUUAGGCUUUGCGAGUUUUUGUUUGUUUACAUAGAAAAGUCUCUUUUAAAUUUCCUUAUUCUUACACUGCAAAGAGACCUAACCUUGAUGGGUCCCAUCUGCAAUGCUCCUCCUGAAAAGAGACAGAGCUGUUUAACUGAACUGACCUAUUUGGAGGACGAAUAGACUGAUUGAAAAAGGUGCCCAGGAAGUCCUGGAACUGAGUCCUGGGGCAAGGUUCUGGAAGUUGGGACAAGAAGACAGCCCUGGUAAUUCUACUGGAAUAUAAUCUCCACGAAGAUAGAUAAGUGGUCUAUUUUGUUUACAGCUGCAUCCUCAGGGCUUAGAACAGUGCUUGAUAUACAAUAAGAUUUGAA